rnacentral:rRNA from 1 species
CCUACGGGAGGCAGCAGUGGGGAAUAUUGCACAAUGGGCGGAAGCCUGAUGCAGCGACGUCGCGUGAGGGAUGGAGGCCUUCGGGUUGUGAACCUCUUUCGCCAGUGAGGAAGGCCUUGCCCGUGUGGUGGGGUUGACGGUAGCUGGGUUAAUUGAAGCGCCGGCUAACUACGUGCCAGCAGCCGCGGUAAUACGUAGGGCGCGAGCGUUGUCCGGAAUUAUUGGGCGUAAAGGGCUUGUAGGCGGUUGGUCGCGUCUGCCGUGAAAUCCUCUGGCUCAGCUGGGGGCGUGCGGUGGGUACGGGCUGGCUUGAGUGCGGUAGGGGAGGCUGGAACUCCUGGUGUAGCGGUGGAAUGCGCAGAUAUCAGGAGGAACACCGGUGGCGAAGGCGGGUCUCUGGGCCGUUACUGACGCUGAGGAGCGAAAGCGUGGGGAGCGAACAGGAUUAGAUACCCUGGUAGUC